rnacentral:rRNA from 1 species
ACUCCUACGGGAGGCAGCAGUGGGGAAUAUUGCACAAUGGGCGCAAGCCUGAUGCAGCGACGCCGCGUGAGGGAUGACGGCCUUCGGGUUGUAAACCUCUUUCAGCUCCGACGAAGCGUAAGUGACGGUAGGAGUAGAAGAAGGACCGGCCAACUACGUGCCAGCAGCCGCGGUAAUACGUAGGGUCCGAGCGUUGUCCGGAAUUACUGGGCGUAAAGAGCUCGUAGGUGGUUUGUCGCGUUGUUCGUGAAAACCCACAGCUCAACUGUGGGCGUGCGGGCGAUACGGGCAGACUAGAGUACUGCAGGGGAGACUGGAAUUCCUGGUGUAGCGGUGGAAUGCGCAGAUAUCAGGAGGAACACCGGUGGCGAAGGCGGGUCUCUGGGCAGUAACUGACGCUGAGGAGCGAAAGCGUGGGGAGCGAACAGGAUUAGAUACCCUGGUAGUCCACGCCGUAAACGGUGGGUACUAGGUGUGGGUUUCCUUCCUUGGGAUCCGUGCCGUAGCUAACGCAUUAAGUACCCCGCCUGGGGAGUACGGCCGCAAGGCUAAAACUCAAAGAAAUUGACGGGGGCCCGCACAAGCGGCGGAGCAUGUGGAUUAAUUCGAUGCAACGCGAAGAACCUUACCUGGGUUUGACAUGCACAGGACGUGCCUAGAGAUAGGUAUUCCUUGUGGCCUGUGUGCAGGUGGUGCAUGGCUGUCGUCAGCUCGUGUCGUGAGAUGUUGGGUUAAGUCCCGCAACGAGCGCAACCCUUGUCUCAUGUUGCCAGCACGUUAUGGUGGGGACUCGUGAGAGACUGCCGGGGUCAACUCGGA